rnacentral:rRNA from 1 species
CAGCCGCCGCGGUAAUACUGAGGGUGCGAGCGUUAAUCGGAAUUACUGGGCGUAAAGCGUACGCAGGCGGUUUGUUAAGCGAGAUGUGAAAGCCCCGGGCUCAACCUGGGAACUGCAUUUCGAACUGGCAAACUAGAGUGUGAUAGAGGGUGGUAGAAUUUCAGGUGUAGCGGUGAAAUGCGUAGAGAUCUGAAGGAAUACCGAUGGCGAAGGCAGCCACCUGGGUCAACACUGACGCUCAUGUACGAAAGCGUGGGGAGCAAACAGGAUUAGAUACCCUGGUAGUCCACGCCGUAAACGAUGUCUACUAGAAGCUCGGAACCUCGGUUCUGUUUUUCAAAGCUAACGCAUUAAGUAGACCGCCUGGGGAGUACAGCCGCAAGGUUAAAACUCAAAUGAAUUGACGGGGGCCCGCACAAGCGGUGGAGCAUGUGGUUUAAUUCGAUGCAACGCGAAGAACCUUACCUACACUUGACAUACAGAGAACUUACUAGAGAUAGUUUGGUGCCUUCCGGAACUCUUGAUACAGGUGCUGCAUGGCUGUC